rfam:Picea glauca, whole genome shotgun sequence.
ACAUGCCUACAACAUAGUGCUAAUGCAUUGGAUCCCAUUAGAACUCCGCAGUUAAGCACCCUCAGGAUAGAGUAGUACUGGGGUGGGUGACCACUCGGGAAGUCCUAGUAUUUUACAUGCC